rnacentral:rRNA from 1 species
CGCGGCGCAUUAGCUAGUUGGUGAGGUAACGGCUCACCAAGGCGAUGAUCGGUAGCCGGCCUGAGAGGGCGCACGGCCACACUGGCACUGAAACACGGGCCAGACUCCUACGGGAGGCAGCAGUGGGGAAUUUUGCACAAUGCCCGAAAGGGUGAUGCAGCAACGCCGCGUGAGGGAUGAAGGCCUUCGGGUCGUAAACCUCUUUCGAUCGGGAAAAAUGGGCUGGUGAAGAGCCAGUUCUGAUGGUACCGGAUGAAGAAGCCCCGGCUAACUACGUGCCAGCAGCCGCGGCAAUACGUAGGGGGCGAGCGUUGUUCGGAAUUACUGGGCGUAAAGGGCGUGUAGGCGGUGCGGUAAGUUGGGCGUGAAAUCCCCGAGCUUAACUCGGGAGGGCCGUUCAAGACUGCCGUGCUAGGGUGCGGGAGAGGGAAGUGGAAUUUCCGGUGUAGCGGUGAAAUGCGUAGAUAUCGGGAGGAACACCUGCGGCGAAGGCGGCUUCCUGGACCGUAACCGACGCUGAGGCGCGAAAGCUAGGGGAGCAAACAGGAUUAGAUACCCUGGUAGUCCUAGCCCUAAACGAUGAGCACUGGGUGUGGCCCCUCACGGGGCCGUGCCGAAGCUAACGCAUUAAGUGCUCCGCCUGGGGAGUACGGUCGCAAGGCUGAA